UUGUGUUUGGGAUGGUUGGCAAUGCACCAACCAAAAGAAAAAACGAAAACACGAGAAGGGGAACAGCUGAUAGAUCGCAAAACAAAGAAAACAAAACGGCAGAAUAAUAAAAAUACAAAUUAAGUGCACACUCCUGUAAGGGGAAAUAAUUGUAUUUAUUUUCACAAAUUGGCGCGGAAAAAAAGCCCAAAGGCCUGAUGUCCACUUAGGUGGUUUAACCUCUCUGGAUGUCCCACACAAAAAAGAACUAUCUUUUCCCAAUACAAUACUGAAUUUGCUAUGUAAUUUGAGGAUCACAAAAUAAACACGUCUACUUCACUCUAUGCUAUGCGGUGGACUGGAAGCUGACACGCUCGAAGGUUCGUUAUAUGCGUACAACAUAUAACAAAGCAAAAGCGUGGGAAGGCUCGGCAGGUGCAGGGAGUAUGCAAGGCGAAACUAAAAAGGCCACUUUACUUAAAAUGUGUACUUUUUUAAUGAAAUGGAUGACAAUUUCGGCGGUAGAGUGGUUGAGUCAGCAGUAAUAAACGACAGUUUGGAGAACAACGAAGACUAUUCGGAAGUAGAGCUCAAGGAGUCA